UUUACUAAAUUUAUUCGACAUAUGCUUAUUUGCUGUACCAUGACUGGUUACCAUUACGUCUUACAGCACUUAAGCAAUAAGCAUGCAUUUUGAAUGGAACUUCUAAUGCAUGAGGCAGUUUUUCUUUAUGAAGCGUUACUAGUUUUCCUUUUGAAGUUGAUAAGUUCAAUGUUAGAUGUUAAGUUAAGCAGGGUAAUUUCUGCUGUUCAGCAGUACCAAACAAAAUAGCAAUAGCACUUAGACUUAUAAACAGUGGUGGGCUGCAAUUUUUUUAACAACCAUUUCUCUGCCCUAAUGACUGGCUGGGUGGGCGUGGCCAACUCAAUUUCACUUACCUUGAGGGGCGCUUCGCCUCACCCGCCCUCUCAUGACCGUGGGGAUGCUGCAACGGUCGUAAGUGUGAAAAACAGUCAUAAAUCACUUUUUCCCGUUCCCUUGUAACUUUGAAUGGUCACUAAAUGAACUGUUGUAAGUCAAGGAUUGCCUGUACAAAAAUACAAAAAGCUUCUUUGCUUGCAAAAAAUACCAGUCAUUAGAUUAGAAAUGGGGGAAUACACACUGAAGAUCAAUGAGUCACAACUGUCAUGGAAACCUAAACCAUUCUGUCUGAAUAACUUCCUUUUCCUCAGCAAUACCUGCAACCCGGACUUACAAAUCAGGCAGGUUGCCAGAGCACAUUGAGGAAUUAAAAUAGUUAAAAUACAAGGAUAACUAUCAACAGCCAAGUUAUUCUUGCUCAUAAAGUGAAACCCUUUAGCAAAGAGGUCAUUUAAGCUCUCCAGAAAAUGGUUGGGCAUAUUUGGGUUACAAAAUGCCGAGCUAAAGAGACAAAUUAACAAAUUAACAUCUUGAGUGAGGGCUAAUCCCAUUUUGCCUUUGUUCAGAUUUUGCUGCAGGGAAGUUUUGCCUAUGAAUAUAGCUAUCUAUCUUUUUAUCUUUUAAGUGCUGACAUCUUCUGUGGGCUAUUAAGGAAGGUGGGAGCUGCUUUCUCCCUCUAAGAAAACAUAUUUCUCCAUUUCUCAUUCAGGGAAAUAUAUUCUUCCUUUUUCAUAUUUCUCAAAAUACUUCAUUCUUCUAGGAGAGGGGUGGGUGCUAACUGUCUACAAUUGGUGCCAUGUUACUAUGCCAUAUUAUCAUGAGAGAAAACUAAAACAAAUUGGAAGGAGGAUCCACUUAUUAUCAGUGAGCAACCAUGUGCCUUGCCCACUCCGAAGCAAUGCAAGAGACUCCUGACCCAAAGGUGCUUUUUCAAGAGGCAACUGGACUUUCUGGAAACCAAGAAAGUCCAGUUGCCUCUUGAAAAAAGCACCUUUGGGACAACCAUGACCUGGAUGACUGAAGAAUCCCCAUAGACAAGGGACUCGUGUGUUCAGUGAGCUGACAAAGCACAGUUUCCCACCCAGGAGAAGCAAUCAUUAGAUCCAUUUGCACCACUUAAAGAUACCAGCUGGUCUCACUCACCUCACAAGAUAUCCUUAGGUAAUCAUCCAGAUUUAAGGAAAGAUCAUAUGCCUCCAGAAAGGCAGUAAAAAAAAUCAGACAGAAUGCCAAGCUUGCAUCCUGCCUCUCAGCCAUUUCUUCUAUGGCUAUGCCAAACCUUCUGUAAAUAGCUGUUCCAGCUGUGUUGGAAGUAUAUUCCAAAAAGCUUAAAACAACCCUUUAACAAUCUUUAAGAAAGUCGAGCAUCAGGAAUAAAAGUACCACAAAAAACUCCUGGGGGAGUGGGGGAACUCCAGAGAAGCUCAGUCUACAGACAGAAAGUCUGGGUGUAAGGCUUACAAUGUAACAAGCUUAACCCAGAGGCAGUUUCUGAAAACACUUAAAGCAUCAGGGCAAUUGAUAAGGAUUAGGCUAGAAAUACAGGCAUACCAGAAUGUUUCCUUCGUACCUCCCUUGCAGGAUUAGCCCUGUAAAGUGGGAAAAGAUUUCUUCCAGCAACCGGUUCUCUGAACUGCUCAGAAAAUUAACAUCCGGUUCGGCAGAACCAGUGCAAACCGGUAGCAGCCCACCUCUGUUUAUAUACUGCUUCACAGUGCUUUACAGCCCUCUCUUAAGUGUUUUACAGAGUCAGCAUAUUGCCCUCAAACAAUCUGGGUCCUCGUUUUAUCGACCUUGGAAGGAUGGAAGGCUGAGUCAAUCCUGAACCGGUGAGAAUCGAACUGCCGAACUGCUAGCAGCCAGCAGUCAGCAAAAGUAGACUGCAAUACUGCAUUUUAACCACUGCACCACCACAACUCUAAUAGUUGGAUAUACAGUAAAGGAAAGUAAUUCUUUAUCAUUAAUAUUUUUUAAAAAAUGAUUAUGCUUUUUCAGUGUUAAAAUAUUGCUUGGAAUUGCUUUUUACCACAUUAUUUACUAGGCAAGUAAAGUAACUUCUCUGCCUGAAGUAUCUUAUAACACAGUCUUGUAUUGUUUAUGAAGCCCUGUUGAGCUGAAUGGGAUUUAAUAGCAGGUGAAUGGGGUAUAGGAUGAUAGUUUUAAUUAACAUAAUUAACUCAUUAAUUUUAUAUUUUAAGUAAAUCACUUUAAAGAUGAUACAGUUGACAGUUUAAGUGAAGAGGAAUUUUAGAAUUGAUUUUUUAAAAUACCCAAAGUAAUUUUCCAUAAUUUCACACAUAUUGCAUUAAAUAAUUCCAGGUGUCCUUCUGCUAUUAAUUUACAUAUCCUGAUUAUUAGAAUGUUAAUUCUGUUGUUGUUAAACUAAGAAUAUUUAUGGGAAAUUUGAUCUGCCACCUUAACCAAGAAAUAAUGUUUUACACAAAGAUGCUGGUGGAGCCAGAAACAGGCCUUCCCCGUGGCUGCCCUAGUUCUUGGUUUGUUUGUUUGUUUUUGUUUAUUGGUUUGUUUGAUUGAAAGAAUUGAUAGGUUGUCCUAUUCCAGACAACUCUAGACAACGUUUUUUGAAAACCUUGCUACUUUAUAUCCAAGAUGAUUCUACUUCCCUUUUGGUGAAAGCAUUUUGGACCACCUUCAGAGGACUACCCAGUCUCUGUAGAGCUCCAAUGAAGUGGUAGAACAAUUUCUAGCCAAGCUAUUCUAUUGAUUGACAGCUCUUUUCAUCAGGAAAUUUCUCAUAAUAUUUAAAAUGAAUCUUCUUUGUAGGUUCAACCCAGUGCUUUGCCCUCCAAAGAACAGGAAUCAGGUCCGUUCCUUCUUCUGAAAACUGAACAUACCAAUGUUAUGUCAUUUUACUUUAGAGUAGUCUCUAAAGUACUCACAGAAUUUCAUUCCCAUUAUUAUAUUGUCAUCCUCUGAACUUGCUUCAGUUUGUUGGUGUCAUUAGAUUGCAGUGCCCAAAACUGUACAUUGUACAAUAUUAAAAGUGAGAGAAUAAAGCAGCUAGCUCCCAUGGUUUUGUCUCUGUUCUUUUUGUCAUUUUAGCAAAUGUAUCAUGUUGUUGGCUCAAGUUAUGAUCUCUCAAGCUAUCCUGAUCCAUUUCACAUGUAUUACUGCUAAACUAGGUUCCCUUCCCCAAUCCCAAAUCCUACAGUAUUGGCUUUCUUUUUUCUUAUCAGAUGCAAGCUUCUACAUUUUAUCCUAUGGGUUGCAGCCUACUAUUCCAUUGCAUGUAUCUUUCUCUUUCAAAGUGUUAACCAUUCUUCCUAGUCUGGUUUCCUCUGAAAAUCUGAUAAUUCAUUUCUCAACCCCUUUAUUCAGUUACCAUGUUUCCCCGAAAAUAAGACCGUUUUAUAUUUUUUUGAACCCCAAAAUAAGUGCUUGGCCUUAUUUUUGGGGGAGGUCUUAUUAUUUUGGGGUACAUGGAGCAAGACGGGGCUCCUCUUGCUGUCUUACCUGAUUUCCACCUCUGUCUCCCUAACCCUAACCCGAGGAAAUGGCGGGGACUGGCUGUGCAUGUGCUUAAAUAUUUUUGGGGAGGGCUUAUUUUCAGGGAAGGCUUAUUUUUGGGGAUGGCUUAUUUUAGCGCAUGCACUCAACAGCCCGAUUGGGCUUAUUAUCUGGGGAGGUCUUAUUUUCGGGGAAACAGGGUAUUAAUAAAAAUAUUGACUAGCAGAAGGUCCUGAACAGAGUUCUCUGAUACUCCAUGUGAUACUAUAUUCCAGUCUGAGGUUGAACUGUUUAUAAAUAUACCGAAUGUAGCAGGCCAGUCAGUAAUGACUCCAUUAAAUUGUUAGUUAGCAUUCAAUAGUCUGUCAUGAUGUCCUCAUUAACAAAAUGGUAAAAUAUUGAGUGAAUGAAUAUGUUUAAGUAAAUAUGUUUCUUGUUGACUUUCAAAUUCUAUAACUACUUUUGUUUGCCAAAGGAUCUUAAACUCCUCCUCCUCCUCUUCACCUUUAAUUAGUACAUUAAAAAGUGUCUGUCAAUAUAAGUUUAUAUGGUAUAUAUGUGCUCUGGUUUACUUUUUGUGUUAUAUAAGUUAGGAAGCUCUUAUGCAAAGCACAUUCAGUUUCUAUGUUUCUAAAAACAUUCCUUUUUAAAUUUUAUGAAUAAAUGCUUUUAAAUUAUGGCCAUGCUCAGAAGCAAUAGCAAUAGCACUUAGAUUUAUAUACUACUUCAUACAGUAGUGGGUUUCAAUUUAGUUUGCUACCAGUUCGCUCGUGCGCAUGAUGCUUCUGCGCAUGUGCAGAAGUGUCCGGGUGGGUGGGCGGAGCCUCCCGCCGCUGCCGCUACCAGUUCGCCUGAUCCAGGGUGAACCAGUAGCAACCCAUCACUGACUUCAUAGUGCUUUACACCCCUCUCUAAGUGGUUUACAGAGUCAGUAUAUUGCUCCCAACAAUCAGGUUCCUCAUUUUACCAACCUUGGAAGGAUGGAAGGUUGAGUCAACCUUGAAUUGGUGAAGAUAAGGGGCGUGCAUAAGCGCACCAGCAUGCCUACCGUCCCUGUCCUAAUGUUCCCUUUAUUUGUAUUCAUUUCAUGUAUUCAGCUUAUGUUUAUGCUUAUAUAUAUUAUCUAAUUGGUGCUUGACAAAAUAAAUAAAAUAAAUAAAGAUCAAACUCCUGGCAGUGAGCUGAAUUAGCCUGCAAUACUGCCUAAGUUAUUGGUAAAGCAUAUGGUUAUAUAUGGGUAUACCAUGAUGCAAGGAGUUAAAUUCUUUUUCAUUUCCUAACAAUUAGGAUUUUAAAAUUGGAGAAGUAUAUGGGACUAUAGUACUGCAUGUCAUUCAACUAUUCAUUUGGAUAACCAAAAACCUCUCGAUAACUAAAAGCUCCCACAGGUCUGAUUCCAGAGCAUUAUUUGUCAAUUGGGAAGAGUUUCAAUGCCACAAUUACUAAUAAUUGGAAAUGGAACAGCAGGGAGAAAAAUAAAGUAGCUCAUUAGAGACCCAAUUUGAGACAAGGGAUAUCCUCUUGAGAGACGUAAGUGAAUGUGAAAUGUAGCACAGCUGCGGUCUUAACUUUCAGAAUGAACAUCAAGACUUGACUGGUUUUUUAUAUAUAUAUAUAUAUAAAUAUCAAAUGCUGCAGAACAAUUCAGCAGCCAAAGAGGGACAUGAACUAUACUUGAAAAAUGCAGAAGAAAAUGUGUAUUUUAUUUUCAUGAUUUCAGCAAAGCAUUAAUGUAAAAUUAAAAUUCUUUUUGGUACACACGUUGAUUCAGUGAGUUACAUUUUUCUUUCAGAAAUACGUUCCAGGAUAAAUAUUCAAUAGUGUUAAAGAAUGAGAAAACAACAAGAAAAUAACUUAAAGGAUAGUUUGAUCCGCCUCACUGGACCUGGAUGUCUAUAAAUUAUUGUCUUGGUUGAAGAAAACAUUUGCUUUUAUGACCCCAUAGAACUAUAAAGAGAUUGUCAAAAAGAGGGCUGUGAAAAUAUUUACAGACCCCUUGCAUCCUGGACAUGACCUGUUUCAACUCCUACCCUCAAAACGACGCUAUAGAGCACUGCGCACCAGAACAACUAGACACAAGAACAGUUUUUUCCCAAAUGCCAUCACUCUGCUAAACAAAUAAUUCCCUCAAUACUGUCAAACUAGUUAUUAAGUCUGCAUUACUAUUAAUCUUCUCAUCGUUCCUAUCACCCAUCUCCUCCCACUUAUGACUGUAUGACUGUAAUUUUGUUGCUGGUAUCCUUACGAUUUAUAUUGACUGUUUCCUAAUAUGAUUUGAUUGCUUAUUUGUUCCCUAUGACUACCAUUAAAUGUUGCACCUUAUGAUUCUUAA